CCUACGGGAGGCAGCAGUAGGGAAUCUUCCACAAUGGGCGAAAGCCUGAUGGAGCAACGCCGCGUGGGUGAAGAAUGUCUUCGGAUCGUAAAACCCUGUUGUUAGAGAAGAAAGUGCGUGAGAGUAACUGUUCACGUUUCGACGGUAUCUAACCAGAACGCCACGGCUAACUACGUGCCAGCAGCCGCGGUAAUACGUAGGUGGCAAGCGUUAUCCGGAUUGAUUGGGUGUAAAGGGAACGCAGUCGGUCUUUUAAGUCUGAUGUGAAAGCCUUCGGCUUAACCGGAGUAGUGCAUUGGAAACUGGGAGACUUGAGUGCAGAAGAGGAGAGUGGAACUCCAUGUGUAGCGGUGAAAUGCGUAGAUAUAUGGAAGAACACCAGUGGCGAAAGCGGCUCUCUGGUCUGUAACUGACGCUGAGGUUCGAAAGCGUGGGUAGCAAACAGGAUUAGAUACCCGGGUAGUC
rnacentral:rRNA from 1 species